ACACGGACCAAGAAGUCUUCAAUGUGCGCGAGUCAAAGGGCUGGCUAAACCCCAAGGCGAAACGAAAGUGAAAAGAGGAAAGAAAAAGAGAGAUUUUUUUCUUUUCAUAGGGCUGAUCCGGUUCGAGGGGCGCGCCCGGGGGAGUUCGCUUCCUCGCAUCACCUCUCGAUUCACCACCCUGAUAUGUGGACGGCGCAAGCCCGGGGCUCGCAAUACGUUCCUCUCCGUCGUCAAAUGCCUCGACGCGCCGCGUGUUUUCCUUCGGCGCGGGAGCAAAAAAAGGUGGGCUCGCGGGAUACGCGAUGUAGGGCGGGCGUUCCUUUCACUCUCGAGCUAAGGGGUCGGCCGGCGGCGCGCAGACGUCUUCACCACCCCUUCAUAGGUGGUGUGGGCGUACUACGUCGUCGUCGCGUCCGUCCUCUUCGGGAGAGGGGAGCGUUCGCUGCCUCUGUCUCGUUCCAUCCGAUAAAAAUGCGCUGCUGGUGAGCGGGAGUUCGCGGUUAUUAGCGUCGCGGGCAGACGCGAGACGAGCGGCGGGUACCUUGAGCGCACAUCGUAGGACCCGAAAGAUGGUGAUCUAUGCGUGGCCAGGAUGAAGCCAGGGGAAACCCUGGUGGAAGUCCGAAGCGAUUCUGACGUGCAAAUCGAUCGUCGGAGCUGCGUAUAGGGGCGAAAGACCAAUCGAACCAUCUAGUAGCU
rnacentral:rRNA from 1 species